rnacentral:lncRNA from 1 species
GCCAAUGCUACACUUCCUUAGCUAGGAGCUAGCAAUGCUACGUGGAAUUGCAUGUCGAAAAUAUUUAAAAAGUCAACCUGCCAUCUCUCCUGCCCUGCUCGUCCAAGUUCCCACUCUAGUUCCAGUACUGGCAGGCUUCACCACUAUAUCCCAGCAGGGUCCUGCUUGGCAUGUUCUCCCAGGUAUCUUCUGAGAGGUUGUUCUCUCUCCACUUCUCAUUCAAGUCUGAAGAUGCUUACAGUCACCUGCAGUACUUCUAAAUCAGAGUUUUGAGAUGGAAGAGGUCACAGCUCCAAUGAUCUCAGCCGAAGAAGAUGAGGAAGAAGACCAGCACAAGUGGUAAGAAUCAGCUACGACUCAGUGACCUCAUGGGAAACCGUGGGGAGAGAUAGCAUUCAAGAAGGAACAUGGGGAAGAGUAUCCAGAGUACAGAGUGGAAGCCUUUGCCCUCCUCUUUCAGCUCUCCAAGGAAUGUCUUCCUGCCCGGUGUCCUGGACAACUGCCUGUCUUUAGAAUUAACAAAUGCUCUGACUUGCAGAGUCUCUCUCAAAUCAGCUUUUGCUGGUAUCAGGAUUUCUCUGGAGGACUCAACAAAGUCCUCUCCAUGCCUGAGAUUCCUACAAUGAUUGAAAUUCCAUUGUUUCUUCCCCGUGGCAUCCAGCCCACUGUACGCUGUGGCAUUUGGACAGGUUCUUGCCUCGAGUUCCUGCUCUGCCUUCAUUUCACUAUACCUAGAAGCUGAAAUAAACUAUUUCCUCCACAA